CACAGAGAAGGGGAAAGCAAGAAAUCAGUAUUCAACUUAAUAAAAUAAAGUUCUGACCCAGAUAAAGUCAUCUGGGUUCUUCCACUGAUCAUUGCCCUAUUGAGCCACCAUUCCAGUUCUAUUAUUUCUUUUAAAUAGGGAUUUAAUGCUCAUGAAUGGAAGGUGAAUGCUUGAAAAUGAAAGGUGAUCACUGCAGUAAAGGACAAAUCAAUACAGAACCAAAGUGCUCUACUUAUCCACAGGGCAAACUAAAGUGAAAGGAAAUGUCUUCAAGACUCUCUCAAGCAGUUGUACUAAUAGAAAUGAUGAUUAAAUUCCCAUAAUAUUACACUAGGACUUAAAAAAAAAUCAGUAAUUAAACACUUACUAGAAAAGGAAUUGGCAGCUACCUGGACUGUGGGCAUUUUGUUGUUCAUUUUCCUUUAGCUUGAUUGAAAAGAAAGGAAUUUGAUUUAAUUUUGUGAAUUUUUAAUUAAUAAAGAUUGAUAGCUGCAAAGAGCAGUUUUAGAAGGACCAGAAAAAAAUUACUCCCCUGCAAGUUAUUUAAAGUUCAGUUCCUAGGAAUGCAAGGAAUUGAGUACUUUUCUUGAGUUCUGGGUCACAUAAGCAUAAAUGAGUAUAUUUGGAAUAAUAGCUGGAAAGUUAGUUUGUUCAGUAGGUGUGAAAUGGGCUUUUUUUAACCUCUAAAUGUGAUUAAUAUUGGAGGUUGUAAAUAACAUGAUAGCAAGAGAAGGGCUCAUGUUUACAGGUAAAAUAUUUUUUAAUUCCAUGGAAAUUGCAAAAAAUGAAAAUAGAAUUUGGGCCAGGAACUUUCUGUGCUAAUCUGGGACUGACAUUUGGGGGCGUUGGUGUCAAAAGAUUUUGGUUUUGGGUCAUUCUCAGCAGUAGAUGAAACAAUGAAGGAUUCACUCUCUUUGAUCCUCCAGCAAACCCUGAUUGGUUGGAAGCAGGGAGAUACAGUUAACUUCACAAAGUCAAUAAAUGUGGCCAUCUGGGAGAAUGCAAAUUUAGACAAAUGUGAUAUAUGUGGGAUGACACUUUUUCCUUAGAACAUGCCACACCAUAAAAGCAUUAAAAAUACAUUCAUAUGACCCAGAGCAUUUGAUUAAAGCCUUCAAUAUGCAAUACAUUCAGUCCCAAGCAAACCAAAGGGGACAACUUGUACCAAUUCCAGACCCAGUUUCAUUCAGGUUUAUUUUUCUACCUCCUCAGCCUCUUCUUUUCAGCAUCUCGGUCUGUGUUUCCUUUCAAUUCAAAUAACCAAGUGGAAUCUGUGUAAAAAAAAACACAAUCCAUUGUGCCACAACUCCUCCUUUAUGUGGAAAAUUGUUUUUCCUCUUUCAUUUCUUUACGUUUCAUCCUGUUGAGCCACUGGCUUGAGAAAAAGUUAAGUAUCUUUGCACAUGGGCAACUUCUCCUGGGAGCAGUCCCAGUAUGUCUGAAAUGAGUAAAGCUGACCUGAUUAGGACCUGAUCCCUGCAGCUACUGGUAUUCAAGCACGGACUGAAUAAUCUUUGUCCAGUUCUGAGUGCAUUGUCAGUGACUAAGGGAUAAUGUAUAUUUACAAGUUUUGCAAAGGAAAAAGAAGAACCCAAAAUGCUCCAGAUGAAGAAAACAAACACAACAUCCAGAUUCCAGAGGUUUGAAAGAACAGUGAUAACAAACUUAGAAAAGCCAAGCAACAUAGCACAGUCACAAGUUCUACAGAAAUUAAAGAUGGAAUUACUUGAAAUUCAUAUGAUGAAAAACAUAUAAUACUGGGGGCAGGGGAGUGUGGAGUGGAUCUUUUGCAUGGUAUGGGUUUGGGACUAUUCUUCAUCACUUUGUCUUCACACUGAAAACAAAGCAGUUGCAGCAGCCUCAGUCUGGAAUGAUGACUCAAGCCCUGACAUACGUUCCAGAGUGAAACAGGGCAAGACAGUUCAGAACAUUCCAGGUUUUGUUAUUAUUGCAGUUUCCCCAAAAUAGCAACAACUCUUUCACUGGGCUAAAAGAAUCUUCCUUUGCUUGACAAAACUCAGAGGGAGCUUGUUUUUUGAAAAGUGGCAAAGCAGGUAGGACAUUUUUAUAGCCUUCCUUUCUUUUUACCUUUUUGUGACCCCUAAGAAGUCACAAUCCUCUCAUAGUCUAAUCAGCAUGGGGAAUUGCAGGAUGAAUGGGCUGGAAAAUUCCUUUGCAAGGCAAUAAUAAUUUUUUUUUUUUCAUAUAUGAAUUCCAGCUUAGUUCUUAGGAGCUUAACAAAGUGAAGUCAUGGUUAUUGUUUUUUAAUUUUGUUUGGUCCUUCAUAGAGCUUUUCAAAGGCACUGGCUUUUGCAUAAGUUGUAAGUUUACGUUAAAGUCCUAUGCUAGUCUGUGUUACACAUUUUAGUGCGUUCUGUACUGCCCUGGGAGCUAACCCCCUCCCCCAAAGAACUCUUUCUCAGCCCCUUCAUCUGUAACCUUUCUGCAAGUAAAUGCUAAUUGAAAAAGAAAGAACACCACUAAUCUUGGAAUUUAAAUGCAUUUAACAAAACCAAUCUCAAUCUAAAUUGUUGUUUCACCAUUCCCUUUUCCCCAACAGAUGUCGAGAAACUGCAAUUCCUAUUAAGAACACUUGACUGUUUACUCAGCAAGAGAACUUCAGGCUCAGGCUGCAUCAAUCUAAAUGCGUUUCAGGACGUCAGUCUUUUGAAAAGUGCAGACUGUUAGUUGGUUAUUUUUAAACGUAAUCUUCACAUAAAAGAGUUGCUGCAUUUUUUCUUUUCACUUUGUCAUCCCUCUAUCCCUCCUCACGCUUUUAUUAUUAUUUUUUUU